AGGACGAACGCUGGCGGCGUGCUUAACACAUGCAAGUCGAGCGAGAAAGCGGCUUCGGCCGUGAGUACAGCGGCGAACGGGUGAGUAACACGUGGGCAACCUGCCCCAGAGAUUGGGAUAACGUCCCGAAAGGGACGCUAAUACCGAAUAACGCGUGACCUGCCAAGUGGGUCACGCCAAAUGGUAGCCUCGGCCUCUGCUCUGGGAUGGGCCCGCGCCGGAUUAGCUUGUCGGUGAGGUAACGGCUCACCAAGGCGACGAUCCGUAGCUGGUCUGAGAGGACGAUCAGCCACACUGGGACUGAGACACGGCCCAGACUCCUACGGGAGGCAGCAGUGGGGAAUCUUGCGCAAUGGGCGAAAGCCUGACGCAGCAACGCCGCGUGAGCGAAGACGGCCUUCGGGUUGUAAAGCUCUGCCAGGAGGGACGAAGCCACUCGGGUGAACAGCCCAGAGGGUGACGGUACCUCCAGAGGAAGCCCCGGCUAACUACGUGCCAGCAGCCGC
rnacentral:rRNA from 1 species